CGCGGGAUGGACGAGUAGUACGUCGCGAGGCUCAUAACCUCGAGGCCCGGGUGCAAUUCCCGGUCCCGCAA
rfam:Candidatus Sungbacteria bacterium RIFCSPLOWO2_01_FTLL_59_16 rifcsplowo2_01_scaffold_8170, whole genome shotgun sequence.